UUAGUGGCGGACGGGUGAGUAACGCGUGGGCAACCUGCCUUACACAGGGGGAUAACACUUAGAAAUAGGUGCUAAAACCGCAUAAGCGCACAGCUUCGCAUGAAGCGGUGUGAAAAACUCCGGUGGUGUAAGAUGGACCCGCGUCUGAUUAGCUUGUUGGCGGGGUAACGGCCCACCAAGGCGACGAUCAGUAGCCGGCCUGAGAGGGCGGACGGCCACAUUGGGACUGAGACACGGCCCAGACUCCUACGGAAGGCAGCAG
rnacentral:rRNA from 1 species